rnacentral:misc_RNA from 1 species
GCAAGAUUGAAGAUUUCUUUUGAGUUGGAAGCAACGUCGAGUUUGAGGACGUUAUGGCUAGAAUUCUGUCUUUGGUUUGAGCCAUAAUAAAGAACAUCAUGAACACAAUUAAGCAAGAGAGUUGACAUACUUUCUUUGUCUAAUAAAUUGGAUGAAUUGGUGCUGGUCGUCAAGGGUUUUGAAGUCCAAAGGGAGAUAUGAAAGUUGAAAUCUG